rnacentral:lncRNA from 1 species
UCCCAGUGUAGGGGGUAGGAGAACCGCCCCCAGGCGAGGAAGUCCAACCGGUUGGGCGGGCUAAGCCUCGCCCUCCAGCGAAAUGGAAAAACCCUUGUGUGAAGAGUGCUGGGGACUGAUUUUUAUAAAGCCCUCUCCUGACCCGGACCAGUUCCAUUCCUCCUACUGGAGCUUCGCAGAGCCCUGAUGGGGUACAGUUCCUGGCGUUGUGCAGCGGCGAAACUGACUCUUAGAAAGGUUGAGGAACUUGCCCAGGGUCACGCAGCUGGGGUGUGGUCGAGCUAGGAUUUUAACCCAAGUCGUCCGGCCUCCAAAAGCCAGAUUCUCUCCGACGUUAGCGCCGCGCCCCCAGGGCGGAGGACUGCGUUCCCUAACACCGCAGACACAACGAAGGUGCCUUGGGUGUGAUUGAAAGACGCGAACGCGGGCCACCCAUCUCUGGCUGAUGGGUGGCUGCGCCUGCAGCCCCCGCAGAGGCUGAGCGUCGGCGGGAGCCGCUCGGGCUGUUACCGUAAGUCUCAGAGGAGCGGGGCACAACGGGAAAGGUAACGAAGAGCAGGACGGGCCGGAGGGCGCCGCGACGUGGAGAGACUGCGUUCCCGGCUCAGAAGCCUGACCUUGAAGGAGUGAGGGUGCGCACGCGCCCGAGGCACUUCUCACUCAUCUUCGGGGUUCAUCCACUGCCUACGGACAUGCCUCGCUUGGUAGCAGACCAGAAACUGCUCUGGAACCGCAGCCACUGGAGCAGAGCGGGGAGAACUUGCCCUCCACAGAGAUUUCCCUCACAAAAGGGAGUCAGAGGCCUCGAGAUGUGAUUGGUUUCCUGGCUGCAGAGUAGAGAAGAGCAGAUAUUCCAUGUUUGGGUACCCAUCCUGCUAGAGAAUGCAAAGAAGGGCCUUGGUGGGGAUGAGGAAAGAGUCAGCCUUACUGUUCUUGGAAAGAACUAGAAGAGGAAAGAAAGGUCACUGCUUUAAAAAUAGGCAUGGAAAGAGCCAAAGGAACCCGGACCCAGGAUGUAACUCUGCCCUGGUCUUCGGCCCUGAGGAAGGGGUCUGUACUUUCACAAGCGGCAACAGCCAGGCGAUGAUUCUCAUCUUCAAUACAGCCCAUCAGCAACUGAAGAACCACAUGACCUCCAAAAAUUGA